UAGACAGAGCUUAUGAAGCGCCUCAGGCUGU
rnacentral:piRNA from 1 species